AGAGUUUGAUCCUGGCUCAGAUUGAACGCUGGCGGUAUGCUUAACACAUGCAAGUCGAACGGAAACGAUACUAGCUUGCUAGUAGGCGUCGAGUGGCGGACGGGUGAGUAACGCGUAGGAAUCUGCCUGAUAGUGGGGGAUAGCCCGAAGAAAUUCGGAUUAAUACCGCAUAAUCUAUUCGUAGUAAAGUGGGGGACUUUCGAGCCUCACGCUAUCAGAUGAGCCUGCGUAAGAUUAGCUAGUUGGUAGGGUAAAAGCCUACCAAGGCAACGAUCUUUAGCUGGUCUGAGAGGAUGAUCAGCCACAUCGGGACUGAGACACGGCCCGAACUCCUACGGGAGGCAGCAGUGGGGAAUAUUGGACAAUGGGGGCAACCCUGAUCCAGCAAUACCGCGUGUGUGAAGAAGGCCUGAGGGUUGUAAAGCACUUUCAAUUGUGAAGAAAAGUUAACGGUUAAUAACCGUUAGCCUUGACGUUAACUUUAGAAGAAGCACCGGCUAACUCCGUGCCAGCAGCCGCGGUAAUACGGAGGGUGCAAGCGUUAAUCGGAAUUACUGGGCGUAAAGCGUGCGUAGGCGGUUUAUUAAGUCAGAUGUGAAAGCCCCGGGCUUAACCUGGGAACUGCAUUUGAAACUGGUCAACUAGAGUAUGGUAGAGGAAAGUGGAAUUUCUGGUGUAGCGGUGAAAUGCGUAGAUAUCAGAAGGAACAUCAAUGGCGAAGGCAGCUUUCUGGACCAAUACUGACGCUGAGGUACGAAAGCGUGGGUAGCAAACAGGAUUAGAUACCCUGGUAGUCCACGCCGUAAACGAUGAUAACUAGCCGUUGGGGGGAUUUACCCUUUAGUGGCGAAGCUAACGCGUUAAGUUAUCCGCCUGGGGAGUACGGCCGCAAGGUUAAAACUCAAAGGAAUUGACGGGGACCCGCACAAGCGGUGGAGCAUGUGGUUUAAUUCGAUGCAACGCGAAGAACCUUACCUGGUCUUGACAUCCUGCGAACUUUCUAGAAAUAGAUUGGUGCCUUCGGGAACGCAGUGACAGGUGCUGCAUGGCUGUCGUCAGCUCGUGUCGUGAGAUGUUGGGUUAAGUCCCGUAACGAGCGCAACCCCUAUCCUUAUUUGCCAGCACGUCAUGGUGGGAACUAUAAGGAGACUGCCGGUGAUAAACCGGAGGAAGGCGGGGACGACGUCAAGUCAUCAUGGCCCUUACGACCAGGGCUACACACGUGCUACAAUGGGAAGGACAAAGAGCCGCGAAGCCGCGAGGUGUAGCUAAUCUCAGAAACCUUUUCGUAGUCCGGAUUGGAGUCUGCAACUCGACUCCAUGAAGUCGGAAUCGCUAGUAAUCGUAGAUCAGAAUGCUACGGUGAAUACGUUCCCGGGUCUUGUACACACCGCCCGUCAUACCAUGGGAGUGGGUUGCACCAGAAGUGGCUAGUCUAACUUAGUGAGGACGGUCACCACGGUGUGAUUCAUGACUGGGGUAAAGUCGUAACAAGGUAACC
rnacentral:rRNA from 1 species